AGUUUUGUGCAGUGGCAGCAUCAUAGCCAGUGAGGUUUAUCUGAGGAGUGAUUAUUGCUAAUUGAAAACUUUUCCCAGUACCCCGCCAUGAUGGCUUGAAAUAUAGUUGGCGUUGGCAUUUUUUGACAGUCUGUAUGGAGA
ensembl:snRNA RNU4-44P RNA, U4 small nuclear 44, pseudogene